GGGUUAGUAGGUUGGUCAUGCCUCUGGUGUGCACUGGUCUCACUGAUUCCUCCUUCCUGAUGAGCCGUAAUGCCAUUAAUUUGGUGUCUUGGGGAAUCAGGACUGUUACUUUGAAAAAAUUAGAGUGUUUAAAGCAGGCUUUCGCUUGAAUACAUUAGCAUGGAAUAAUGAAAUAGGACGUUUGAUCCUAUUUUGUUGGUUUCUAGGAUUGACGUA
rnacentral:rRNA from 1 species